CCUACGGGAGGCAGCAGUGGGGAAUAUUGCACAAUGGGGGAAACCCUGAUGCAGCGACGCCGCGUGAGGGAAGAAGUAUUUCGGUAUGGAAAGCUCUAUCAGCAGGGAAGAAAAUUACGGUACCUGACUAGGAAGCCCUGGCUAACUACGUGCCAGAAGCCGCGGUAAUACGUAGGGGGCAAGCGUUAUCCGGAUUUACUGGGUGUAAAGGGAGCGUAGACGGCAGAGCAAGUCUGAAGUGAAAGCCCGAGGCCCAACUGCGGGAGUGCUUUGGAAACUGCCCGGCUAGAGUGCUGGAGAGGUAAGCGGAAUGCCUAGUGUAGCGGUGAAAUGCGUAGAUAUUAGGAGGAACACCAGUGGCGAAGGCGGCUUACUGGACAGUAACUGACGUUGAGGCUCGAAAGCGUGGGGAGCAAACAGGAUUAGAUACCCUUGUAGUC
rnacentral:rRNA from 1 species